UUUCGUGCAAUUCACUCUAUAUGCAUAUUUGUUCAGAUUGUAAUGGAGAACACAAGUGCCAAUUUGCACAGCUGAAGUAAAAUAUUUAGUAAUUUAAAUAAACUUAUGCAGAUGUGGAGCGUUUAUAUAAAAGUUAUAGAACUCAACAGCAUCUACAACUUUGUAGAUGGCAACAUUUUAAUUUGAAACCAAUUAGAUGCCUAAAUAUUUUUCUAAAGUUUUGGC
rnacentral:lncRNA from 1 species